AUUGACCUCGUCUUAUUUAAGUUGCUUUCUGGAGUAGCCUUAGUCUGGUGUCUAUCUAAGCUGACCGUUGCUGUGGUACUCGUGUGUGUACUUGGUUUUGGGGUCUUCAGGCGGUCAGGUUUUGUCGUUGCAGGUAAGGUCUUUGGUCGCGUGUAUUGCCUCUGGACUGUGUGCAAGCGUGUUUGCAUAUUGUCUGGUGGUUCCUCUAAUUGUUUGUCCCUACUAAGGGGUAGUUGGGCAUUCCUAGAGACUAAGGUGCUCUCCUGAUUUGUUUGUUGUGUGUCGAUGUUUCUGAGUUCUUAUAUGUUGUCUUAUUUGUUUCGGGGUGGUCUUUUUCAGGGUUGUUGGAGAGUGAGCGGUGAAGUGGGAGGGUGGAAGGGGCUGGUCCAGGUGUGUUGGGGGUCUGUGAUAGGUUUCUUCAGUGGGUGUGAUUCAGGUCUGAUACCUUCACCUUUACUGGUCUGUGCCUUUCCUUGGUUGCCCUUGUUAUAGUUGUGGGUUUCGGUGUUGGUCGUGAGCAGUUGUUUCGUCUUGUGGUUUGGGGUGUGCUGUUGCUUUUGUGUCCUUGUGUAGUGUUUAUGCUGGUGUGGGUUUGUGUGUGUCUCCUUCCCUCUUUGCCCUUUCUCGCCUCUCUGUUUCUUGUUCUCCCUUUGAGGGACCCGAAGG